rnacentral:rRNA from 1 species
AACGAACGCUGGCGGCAUGCCUAACACAUGCAAGUCGAACGAUUGCCUUCGGGUGAUAGUGGCGCACGGGUGCGUAACGCGUGGGAAUCUGCCCUUAGGUUCGGAAUAACAGCUGGAAACGGCUGCUAAUACCGGAUGAUAUCGCGAGAUCAAAGAUUUAUCGCCUGAGGAUGAGCCCGCGUUGGAUUAGGUAGUUGGUGGGGUAAAGGCCUACCAAGCCGACGAUCCAUAGCUGGUCUGAGAGGAUGAUCAGCCACACUGGGACUGAGACACGGCCCAGACUCCUACGGGAGGCAGCAGUGGGUAAUAUUGGACAAUGGGCGCAAGCCUGAUCCAGCAAUGCCGCGUGAGUGAUGAAGGCCCUAGGGUUGUAAAGCUCUUUUACCCGGGAAGAUAAUGACUGUACCGGGAGAAUAAGCCCCGGCUAACUCCGUG